rnacentral:rRNA from 1 species
UACGUAGGGGGCAAGCGUUGUCCGGAAUCAUUGGGCGUAAAGCGCGUGUAGGCGGCCCGGUAAGUCCGCUGUGAAAGUCGGGGGCUCAACCCUCGGAUGCCGGUGGAUACUGUCGGGCUCGAGUACGGAAGAGGCGAGUGGAAUUCCUGGUGUAGCGGUGAAAUGCGCAGAUAUCAGGAGGAACACCGAUUGCGAAGGCAGCUCGCUGGGACGUGACUGACGCUGAGACGCGAAAGCGUGGGGAGCAAACAGG